AGACACUUUAUAGGGAUGAGACA
rnacentral:siRNA from 1 species